UACGGAGGGUGCAAGCGUUAUCCGGAUUCACUGGGUUUAAAGGGGGCGUAGGUGGGCAAGUAAGUCAGUGGUGAAAUCUCCGGGCUUAACCCGGAAACUGCCAUUGAUACUAUUUGUCUUGAAUACUGUGGAGGUCAGCGGAAUAUGUCAUGUAGCGGUGAAAUGCUUAGAUAUGACAUAGAACACCAAUUGCGAAGGCAGCUGGCUACACAAAUAUUGACACUGAGGCACGAAAGCGUGGGGAUCAAACAGG
rnacentral:rRNA from 1 species